GUGAGGAAUAUUGGUCAAUGGGCGAGAGCCUGAACCAGCCAAGUCGCGUGAAGGAAGAAGGAUCUAUGGUUCGUAAACUUCUUUUGCAGGGGAAUAAAGUGCGGGACGUGUCCUGUUUUGUAUGUACCCUGAGAAUAAGGAUCGGCUAACUCCGUGCCAGCAGCCGCGGUAAUACGGAGGAUCCGAGCGUUAUCCGGAUUUAUUGGGUUUAAAGGGUGAGUAGGUGGUUUGAUAAGUCAGCGGUGAAAGUUUGCAGCUUAACUGUAAAAAUGCCGUUGAAACUGUCGGACUUGAGUGUAAAUGAGGUAGGCGGAAUGCGUGGUGUAGCGGUGAAAUGCAUAGAUAUCACGCAGAACUCCGAUUGCGAAGGCAGCUUACUAAGCUACAACUGACACUGAAGCACGAAAGCGUGGGGAUCAAACAGGAUUAGAAACCCUAGUAGUCC
rnacentral:rRNA from 1 species